GCCAUGAUAAAUGAACCUUACUGUAAAAUUUAACGACUUAUCAAACAAAUUACAAUAUGUUUGAUUAUGAUGUCUACCCUUCUAGUGGUCAUGUUGCCGUCUCAGAGAUUAUACCACGCGUGUGAGUAUGAAACUGUGAAGUUCCAAGAUCACCGAAGAAGGUAAUUCAACUUCUCUUUUAAAUGAUAUAUAAGAAUUUAAGAAAAACAGAAAAUCAUUUCUUUCACUUAAUAAAUG
rnacentral:lncRNA from 1 species